CCUACGGGGGGCUGCAGUGGGGAAUAUUGGACAAUGGGCGAAAGCCUGAUCCAGCAAUACCGCGUGUGUGAAGAAGGCCUGAGGGUUGUAAAGCACUUUCAAUGGGAAGGAACACCUAUCGGUUAAUACCCGGUAGACUGACAUUACCCAUACAAGAAGCACCGGCUAACUCCGUGCCAGCAGCCGCGGUAAUACGGAGGGUGCAAGCGUUAAUCGGAAUUACUGGGCGUGAAGCGUGCGUAGGCGGGUGAAAGCCCCGGGCUUAACCUGGGAACUGCAUUUGAUACUGGGCAACUAGAGUUGAGUAGAGGGGAGUGGAAUUUCAGGUGUAGCGGUGAAAUGCGUAGAGAUCUGAAGGAACACCAGUGGCGAAGGCGGCUCCCUGGACUCAAACUGACGCUGAGGUACGAAAGCGUGGGUAGCAAACAGGAUUAGAUACCCUAGUAGUC
rnacentral:rRNA from 1 species